UCACCGAAGCAACCAUGCCUAGUGUGUA
rnacentral:sRNA from 1 species